rnacentral:rRNA from 1 species
AUGGUGUUGCUUGACAUUAGGGGUAUGUUGCAGUCUAUGGGUAAAGACAUUACUGAUUUCGCUCUUCUAACGAUCGAUGAUGCGUUUGACCCAAACGAGGGCGAGGCCAGAGAGAUCAUCGAGGAAUCAACUGUUGAGUUUGACGAAAGUGACACUAAAUUGUCAUCUUCCCUAAAUUUUGAGCAAAGGGCUGCAUACGACGAAAUACUAGCGGCUGUUGAACGCGGUGAUGGGGGUAUAUUCUUUGUUGAUGGCCCUGGAGGUACGGGGAAGACCUUCCUCUACAGGGCGAUGCUAGCCAAGGUGAGGCGCGAGGGCAAGAUUGCUAUCGCUACCGCGACGUCGGGUGUCGCUGCUUCUAUCAUGCCUGGCGGCAGGACUGCCCACUCAAGGUUCAAAAUCCCACUGAGUUGA